rnacentral:rRNA from 2 species
UUCCGCCAGGAGCAUCGCUGGGUAGCUAUGUGUGGCAGGGAUAAACGCUGAAAGCAUCUAAGCGUGAAGCCCCCCUCAAGAUGAGAUUUCCCAUUUCUUCGGAAAGUAAGAUCCCUGAAAGAUGAUCAGGUAGAUAGGUUUGGAGUGGAAGUGUAGCGAUACAUGGAGCGGACAAAUACUAAUCGAUCGAGGACUUAACCAAAA